rnacentral:rRNA from 1 species
UACGUAGGGUGCAAGCGUUGUCCGGAAUUAUUGGGCGUAAAGAGCUCGUAGGCGGUUUGUUGCGUUCGGCUGUGAAAUCCCGAGGCUCAACCUCGGGUCUGCAGUCGAUACGGAGCAAACUAGAGUGUUGCAGGGGAGACUGGAAUUCCUGGUGUAGCGGUGAAAUGCGCAGAGUAUCAGGAGGAACACCGGUGGCGAAGGCGGGUCUCUGGGCCGAAUACUGACACUGGAGGAGCGAAAGCGUGGGGAGCGAACAGG